rnacentral:rRNA from 1 species
GACGAACGCUGGCGGCGUGCUUAACACAUGCAAGUCGAACGGAAAGGCCCUGCUUGUGUGGGGGGCUCGAGUGGCGAACGGGUGAGUAACACGUGAGUAACCUGCCCUGGAUUUUGGGAUAACUUCAGGAAACUGGGGCUAAUACCGGAUAGGAGAUCCUGCUGCAUGGUGGGGGUUGGAAAGUUUCGGCGGUUGGGGAUGGACUCGCGGCUUAUCAGCUUGUUGGUGGGGUAGUGGCUUACCAAGGCUUUGACGGGUAGCCGGCCUGAGAGGGUGACCGGCCACAUUGGGACUGAGAUACGGCCCAGACUCCUACGGGCGGCAGCAUUGGGGAAUAUUGCACAAUGGGCGUAAGCCUGAUGCAGCAACGCCGCGUGCGGGAUGACGGCCUUCGGGUUGUAAACCGCUUUCGCCUGUGACGAAGCGUGAGUGACGGUAAUGGGUAAAGAAGCACCGGCUAACUACGUG